UACGGGGGGGGCAAGCGUUGUUCGGAAUUACUGGGCGUAAAGGGCGCGUAGGCGGCCUGCUAAGUCGGACGUGAAAUCCCUCGGCUCAACCGGGGAACUGCGUCCGAUACUGGCGAGGCUUGAAUCCGGGAGAGGGAUGUGGAAUUCCAGGUGUAGCGGUGAAAUGCGUAGAUAUCAGGAAGAACACCCGUGGCUAAGGCGGUUCUCUAGUACGGUACUGACGCUGAGACGCGAAAGCGUGGGGAGCGAACAGG
rnacentral:rRNA from 1 species